AUGGCCGACGAAUCCGCCACCCAAAGCCAGGCCCGCGGGUGCAGCUCGUACCCCUUCUCGUUCCCUUCCCAGCCGCCGGACAUCAAGAACUGGUUCUCGAGUUACCAGUACGAGUCGCCGGAGGUGCCGGAGCUGGCUGUUCACCCUCCUGCUGUCGACAACGGCAGCGAGACCCAAGACCCAUUGGAGUUCCCGGUGGCUGGGCAUUCAUUUCUUAAAGACGCCCCUGGGAAUGGCGGCACUGAUUUGAAGAGGGAUUGUUUUGGGAGCCAAGCUGAGCAUGCUGAGGCUUCUGCUACGAGAGAUUUCCUUCCGAUUGGUGGGAGCACUGUUGAACAGGGCACGAAAAGGAAGCAAAGCCUGCGGGGGCUGUUUGGUUUUCUGGAUGACCAUGAAGAGGGUACUCAAACUGAAAAUCGGGUGGCGUCGCCUGUGCAGAGAAGUGCGGUGGAUCCUCCGUGGAACCGCAACUGGGUAGGCUUACAGAAUAGAAAGCGCAGCCAUGAAGGCAUGGUUGAACACAGCGAGCUACCAACGGAUAGUGAGAGCACUUGUAUAGCUGAAACUCAAACUGAAAGUCGAGUGGUGUUGCCUGUGCUGAGAAGUGCAAUGGAUCGUCCAUGGGACUGCAACUGGAUAGGCUUGCGGAAUAGAAAGCGCAUCCAUGAAGGUGUAGUUGAACACAGCGAGCUGCCGAUGGAUAGUGAGAGCACCUGUGUAGCUGAAACUCAGACUGAUAGUCGAGUGGUGUUGCCUGCGCUGAGAAGUGCAGUAGAUCCUCUGUGCGACUGCAACUGGAUAGGCUUAAGGAAUAGAAAGCGCAGCCAUGAAGGCGUAGAUGAACACAGUGAGCUGCCGACAGAUAGUGAGAGCACUUGUAUAGCUGAAACUCAGACUGAUAGUCGAGUGGUGUUGGGCUUAAGGAAUAGAAAGCGCAGCCAUGAAGGCGUAGCUGAACACAGCGAGCUGCUGAUGGAUAGCGAGGGCACUUGUGUAGCUGAAACUCAGUUAAACCCCCCGGGAGGUCAGGAGACCAAGCACAGUAAAGGUUCAGUUAAUUGUGGUGGUACUAGUUUAGCAGCAGAUAAUGAAGAAGGUUUACCAGAAGAUGGCACUGAAAGUAACCUGCCAGUUAAUUUUCACAGUAAAGGCCUAGCAGAUGCGGAGAAAACUAAGCAAAGUCUGCGAGGGUUGUUUGAAGCAGAUUUUCUUGACAACCGUGACGAAGCUACUCAAACUGAAAGUCGGGUGGCGUCGUCUGUGCUGAGAAGUGCAGUAGAUCCUCGUUGGGACUGCAACUGGAUAGGCUUACGGAAUAGAAAGCGCAGCCAUGAAGGCGCAGUUGAAUACAGCGAGCUGGUGACGGAUAGUGAGGGCACUUGUAUAGCUGAAACACAAGUAAACCCCCCAGGAGGUCAGCAGACCAACCCCAGCAAGCAUCCAGUUAAUUGUGGUGGUACUAGUUUAGAAGAUGGCAUUGAACAUAGCAACCUGCCAGUUAAUUUUCCUAGUAAAGGCCUAGCGGGUAGUGAGAAGACUAAGUUAAGUCUGCGGAAAUUGUUUGGAUCAGGUUUUCUUGACGACGGUGAUGAAGCUAAUGAAUCUGAAACUCGGGCUGUGUUGGCUGUACAGAGAAAUGCAGUACAGCCUCUGACAAACUGCAACGCUGUAGGCUUACCUCAUAUUGAACAAACCCAUGACGGUGCAUCUGGAUACAGUGAGCUACCGGCAGAUUGUCAUGCCAUCAGUACAGGUGAAACUCAAGAAAAUCCCCCAUCAGGUCAGGUGAUUGAACACAACAGGCUGCCUGUUUACUGUUGUAGUACGAGUUUAGCAGGGGAUACUGAAGGUGGUUUUGUAGAAGAUGGCAUUGAGCGCACCAAAAUGCCAGUCAAUUCUCCUAAUAAAGUCCUAGCUGACAUUGAGAAAACUGCCACUGAACACUACAUACCGCCUGUUAGUUCUGGUGGUAUUGGUUCAGCUGUCACAAAUGGAAGCUUUUCUGGAGAUGAAAUCAAGCGAAGCAAGCCUAAACUGGAGCAUAAGAAAACAGAAGGAACAGCCGCGGCCGAUGGUUUCGUUGCCAUCAGGACAAAGGUGAAGCCAGCAGAGAAAUGCAGGACAAGCAAAAUUCCUAAGGUCUCAACAGGAAGAGAGAAUACAACAUUGCAAGAGAACCGCCGCAUUUUGGGGACUACUGCUUUGGGCCAAGGUAGCACUAGAAGCCCCUUGUCAGAUAGGACCAAUAUUUCAGAAGUUGCAGGAGCUCCAGCACAGGAGGUCAGCGGGAAAUGGAAGUGCCCUCGCAAGGGCAAGCCCUAUGUUGGCCCUCCGAUGAAACAGCUGCGGUUGGAACAAUGGGUGCGCCGAGUGUAA
rnacentral:rRNA from 1 species